AUGGCCAGGCCACAGUCCUGCAUCUGACAGGGCUGUGGACGAAAGCCGAGUCUGUCCUGGAGCAGCUGGGCCUGGGCAGGUCUGAGCCCGUGUGAGGAACAUUCCUGCAGAUGCACAGCAUGCAGAGGGCAGGCGGGGCUGACGCACACACUUCUCCCCAGUGAAUUCUGGAGGCUGGAGUCAACCUAUAGAAAGUCUUCCAUGAGGCCGAAAUUGGAGUGUGUGAUGGGGGUGGCUCCUGGGUCUCAUGGAGUUCCUCAGAGAGCUUCUGCCUGAGUUAUCUAUUGGUAUUCUGCAGCAGCUGCCUCACAGAGCCUGGAGAGCUCCAGCAAGGAUGGGCCGGAACUCCAGCUGCUGUGGAACCAGCUCUUGGAUUUCUUUAUCCAUAUGAAGACCUGCAAAGGGCCUGAUAUUUUUUUUUUCUCCUACGUGCCGGCUAACAAGUUAGUCUGCCAGUGGUCUCCUAGAUUAUGGGUUUCUCAUAGGAGAGCUGAAGUCUACUCAAUGAAUGUCUGUGUGGUAUAUGAAAAAAUGGUCACCAUCACUAAUCUUCAAGGAAAUGCAAAUCAAAACCAAAAUGAGAUAUUACUCACUCCAGUUAAAGUGGCUAUUAUCAAAAAGACAAAAUAUAACAGAGCUGGUGAGGAUGUGGAGAAAGGGGAACACUCCUUGUACACUGUUGGUGAGAAUGUGAAUUAGUACAACCACUAUGGAGAACAGUAUGGAGA
rnacentral:lncRNA from 1 species